CCUGCCCUGCAGGUGCCAGGUGUGGCUGCUGAGUCCUGUGUGUGUAAGUGGGUGGCAGAGGAGAGAAAUCCUAUGUCUAGGCUCAGUGUUCUAACCUAUGAACAUCUAAAUGAACAGUAGUCUAACACU
ensembl:snoRNA Gm25016 small nucleolar RNA SNORA17